UAGGGAAUCUUCCACAAUGGGCGCAAGCCUGAUGGAGCAACACCGCGUGAGUGAAGAAGGGUUUCGGCUCGUAAAGCUCUGUUAGUUAAAGAAGAACACGUAUGAGAGUAACUGUUCAUACGUUGACGGUAUUUAACCAGAAAGUCACGGCUAACUACGUGCCAA
rnacentral:rRNA from 1 species